UUUUAAACGCGGUUGUUAUAUUUUUCGAUUGAACGGUAAAAACAAUAUAGCCGUCGUAAAUGCAUAAUAAAUUCCGUUUAAGCCACGGUAUUUAUUGCGAUGACUUAUCUAUUUAGAUAAUAGUAUUGUUUUUUCUUUAUUUUUUAUCUUAUUAGGUUCCUGAAUGAACAUUUUUAUAUUAUAAAGUUAUCUAUAAGACGAAAAAAAUACAUUCACAUCACGCUGCUGAUGGUUGUGCUACUGCUUUAGGAGGAAAGUCUGCAGGGAUAAUGUGUCAUAAUUAGAGUGAUUUAAUUUAAAUCUGUACACAACAAUAGGCCAUUACUAAUGUAGAACGAUUUUGAACGGAGUAUUAUGAGUCGUAUUUUUUUCCCUGUCGCCUAUUAUAAAUAAUAACCCAGAAAUCAACAAAAAAUUAUACAAACAAUAUUUCCCGUAUCUCACAUGUAAGAAAACUACAAGGAAAAUCAAAAAAUGACCUUUCCAAUGCCACCGACGAAAAAUUUUUAAAAGAAAGUUCCUAUAAAGAUUUUGAUUGGAGCAAAACAAGUAGUAGAAAAGGUAGGACAAAUAAUUAAUAGACUCGCAAAAAACAAACAACAUAGUAAAAUCAAAGCACUCCGCGCUUCGCUCAGAAUAUAAAAUAAUAUUAUUUUUAUACUCUUUGUACACAGAUAAAAUUUAAACUAAAGAAAAUUAAAAAAUUUAAUUAAUUGUUUUACUCGUAAUAGAAAUUAUUAAAUAGUUGUAUACGUUUUACUUUUAGUAAAAAAUCUAAGUUUCUAUACAGGUAGCUAAUGAUUUACGCCCUUUGCAUUUUACGGAACUAUUUAAAUAUUUCUGAAUUAUUUAAAUAGUUUUAUUUUCUUGCAAUAGGUAAGUAGGUAGGUUCAAUCAUCAAUCGACAAAUUAUAUUUAUUUUUUUUACCUACCCAUAAAUUCCACUUGUAAAUAUUCUGGAGAAAUUAUCUUUUA